rnacentral:pre_miRNA from 15 species
GCCUGUUCCCUGAGACCUCAAGUGUGAGUGUACUAUUGAUGCUUCACACCUGGGCUCUCCGGGUACCAGG